AUUGAACGCUGGCGGCAGGCCUAACACAUGCAAGUCGAGCGGAUGAAGGGGGCUUGCUCCUGGAUUCAGCGGCGGACGGGUGAGUAAUGCGCAGGAAUCUACCUCGUAGUGGGGGAUAACGUCUCGAAAGGGGCGCUAAUACCGCAUACGUUCUGAGGAAGAAAGCAGGGGGACCUUCGGGCCUUGCGCUAUGAGAUGAGCUUGCGUCCGAUUAGCUAGUUGGUGGGUAAAGGCCUACCAAGGCGGCGAUCGGUAACUGGUCUGAGAGGAUGAUCAGCCACACUGGAACUGAGACACGGUCCAGACUCCUACGGGAGGCAGCAGUGGGGAAUUUUGGACAAUGGGCGCAAGCCUGAUCCAGCAAUGCCGCGUGAGUGAAGAAGGCCUUCGGUUGUAAGACGUCUUUCUAGUUGUAG
rnacentral:rRNA from 1 species